rnacentral:lncRNA from 1 species
GGGCCGGCAGAGCAUCGUAGGCUCUAAACACAUACCCUUUACCAUUUCUGGCAAAGGUCUAGACAAUCCCACAAACAACAGAGUACAAGAGGGUAGUUUUAACAAUAAGUAGCAUAUAACGGAAGCACACGCGGAACAACAAAACGUACAUGUGCCUUUUCGAGACAAUACGAUGCAAGGAACAAAUCUCUCACAAAUGUAUUCAAAUUUGGAAUGAAAUGAAAGCAAGAUUAUACAGGAAUUCCAAGCAAUCAUAUUUAGCUCAAUUCAAAUAAGAAGGUUGGAUGAAUUCAAUAUCCAAAGGAAUGGAAUAGAAUACGCGAAAUCGACCAAAGCUGGAUUUCUGACAGAAUUCAAGUGGCACAUCGAAC